AACGGUAGAGGGGGCAAGGCCCUUGAGAGUGGCGAACGGGUGAGUAAUGCAUCGGAACGUGCCCAGUCGUGGGGGAUAGCCCGGGGAAACCCGGAUUAAUACCGCAUACGACCUGAGGGUGAAAGCGGGGGACCAGCAAUGGCCUCGCGCGAUUGGAGCGGCCGAUGUCGGAUUACGUAGUUGGUGGGGUUUAGGCCUACCAAGCCUGCGAUCCGUAGCUGGUCUGAGAGGACGACCAGCCACACUGGGACUGAGACACGGCCCAGACUCCUACGGGAGGCAGCAGUGGGGAAUUUUGGACAAUGGGCGCAAGCCUGAUCCAGCCAUGCCGCGUGCGGGAAGAAGGCCUUCGGGUUGUAAACCGCUUUUGUCAGGGAAGAAAUCUCUUGGGUUAAUACCCUGGGGGGAUGACGGUACCUGAAGAAUAAGCACCGGCUAACUACGUGCCAGCAGCCGCGGUAAUACGUAGGGUGCGAGCGUUAAUCGGAAUUACUGGGCGUAAAGCGUGCGCAGGCGGUCAUACAAGACAGAUGUGAAAUCCCCGGGCUCAACCUGGGAACUGCAUUUGUGACUGUAUGGCUAGAGUACGGUAGAGGGGAGUGGAAUUCCGCGUGUAGCAGUGAAAUGCGUAGAUAUGCGGAGGAACACCAAUGGCGAAGGCAGCUCCCUGGACCUGUACUGACGCUCAUGCACGAAAGCGUGGGGAGCAAACAGGAUUAGAUACCCUGGUAGUCCACGCCCUAAACGAUGUCAACUGGUUGUUGGGAGGGUUUCUUCUCAGUAACGAAGCUAACGCGUGAAG
rnacentral:rRNA from 1 species